CAUUUAAAUGCCAAGUCUUCAUGGUCCCCCCUCAGUUGAGAAUGACCAAAAGCUGUCACGAAGGUCCCCAUGUAGAUUUUUUGUAUUUUUGGUAAUUGUUAUGGGGGUUAAAAAUCAUAUGAUGUGGAGCUUAUUUUUCAUGGACACUGUCAAAUUCAGAACCCAUUACCGGUAUGGCUGAUUUGCAGCAACAACAAAACGAUUCGUACGGGUUAUGUAAAAGGCUAAAGAG
rnacentral:lncRNA from 1 species